rnacentral:lncRNA from 1 species
GACAAUCGAUUGUCAACACAGACAAUCGAUUGUUUGGUUUUUUCUGAAAAAAUUUUAAGUCAUUGGAUGUGACAAGGAAAAAUUUUUCUUAUUGGACCAUACAAUCGAUUGUCAAAACAGACAAUCGAUUGUUUGGUUUUUUUCUGAAAAUUUUAAGUCACUGGAUGUGACAAGGAAAAAUUUUUCUAAGUUACUGGACCAGACAAUCGAUUGUCAAAACAGACAAUCGAUUGUUUGGUUUUUUCUGAAAAUUUGAAGUCACUGGAUGUGACAAGGAAAAAUUUUUCUAAGUUACUGGAUCAGACAAUCGAUUGUCAAUACCAGACAUUCGAUUGUUUGGUUUUCUGAAAUUUUCA